GUUGGCCAGGAGCCAAGAAAGAAAAGGAAGAACCCUUAUCAUCAUACAAAAUUCAGCAAUUGAAGCUUUAAUCAUGGCUAAUACUCAUGCAUGUCUUUGAUUUCCUAAUCCUCCAAGCAUACUAAAGCACAAGGAAUUAAGAAAAAAGCUCAAGUCAUUCCGGAUCGCAAACGAAGAACGAUAAAGGCAUCUUGAUCCGCGGCGUUACGUUGGAACGAACACAUCACCUCACAAGCUUCCGCUACGAUACUUAACUAAACGGGUCAAAACUUUUGUUGGAAGGUUCUUCGUUAUGUUUAAUCUUUUGUAAAAACUUAACUUUGAAGGAUGUCGAAACUUUUAUUAUCUCCGUUAGUUUAUGUCGAAGUUUAUGGAAAAUUUUGUAAGUUUCUUGUUUGA
rnacentral:lncRNA from 1 species